rnacentral:rRNA from 1 species
AUUGAACGCUGGCGGCAGGCCUAACACAUGCAAGUCGAGCGGAUGAAGGGAGCUUGCUCCUGGAUUCAGCGGCGGACGGGUGAGUAAUGCCUAGGAAUCUGCCUGGUAGUGGGGGAUAACGUCCGGAAACGGGCGCUAAUACCGCAUACGUCCUGAGGGAGAAAGUGGGGGAUCUUCGGACCUCACGCUAUCAGAUGAGCCUAGGUCGGAUUAGCUAGUUGGUGGGGUAAAGGCCUACCAAGGCGACGAUCCGUAACUGGUCUGAGAGGAUGAUCAGUCACACUGGAACUGAGACACGGUCCAGACUCCUACGGGAGGCAGCAGUCGGGAAUAUUGGACAAGGGGCGAAAGCCUGAUCCAGCCAUGCCGCGUGUGUGAAGAAGGUCUUCGGACUGUAAAGCACGUUAAGUUGGGAGGAAGGGCAGUAAGUUAAUACCUUGCUGUUUUGACGUUACCAACAGAAUAAGCACCGGCUAACUACGUG